AAGUCGUAACAAGGUCUCCGUUGGUGAACCUGCGGAAGGAUCAUUAACACAAUUUUACUGUGAUAAAUCCGUUGAAUUCUCGAAUUCAAUGGUAUCCACCCCAUUAUUGACGAACUUUUCUAGAUGUUAAAACAUAGAGCUAGUCUUUAUGUUUUUAACAUUCUAAACCUUUUUCUAUAUCCACACAAAUUUAAACCCCUUUUACAACAUGUAUUAGACUGAAAUGAAAAUUUUCUAUCAAAAAAUUGAUAAAAACAACUUUUAACAACGGAUAUCUUGGCUCUC
rnacentral:misc_RNA from 1 species